AAGGUCCUACGGGGGGCAGCAGUGGGGGAUAUUGGACAAUGGGGGAAACCCUGAUCCAGCGAUGCCGCGUGAGGGAAGAAGGUUUUCGGAUUGUAAACCUCUGUGGAGGGGGACGAUAAUGACGGUACCCCUUUAGGAAGCCACGGCUAACUACGUGCCAGCAGCCGCGGUAAUACGUAGGUGGCGAGCGUUGUCCGGAAUUACUGGGUGUAAAGGGCGAGUAGGCGGGAUUGCAAGUCAGAUGUGAAAACUAUGGGCUCAACCGAUAGAGUGCAUUUGAAACUGCAGUUCUUGAGUGAUGGAGA
rnacentral:rRNA from 1 species